rnacentral:rRNA from 1 species
AGAACGAACGCUGGCGGCAUGCCUAACACAUGCAAGUCGAACGAGACCUUCGGGUCUAGUGGCGCACGGGUGCGUAACGCGUGGGAAUCUGCCCUUGGGUUCGGGAUAACAGUUGGAAACGACUGCUAAUACCGGAUGAUGUCUUCGGACCAAAGAUUUAUCGCCCAGGGAUGAGCCCGCGUAGGAUUAGCUUGUUGGUGAGGUAAGAGCUCACCAAGGCGACGAUCCUUAGCUGGUCUGAGAGGAUGAUCAGCCACACUGGGACUGAGACACGCCAGACUCCGUACGGGAGCAG